rnacentral:rRNA from 1 species
AUUGAACGCUGGCGGCAGGCUUAACACAUGCAAGUCGAACGAGAGGCGGACGGGUGAGUAAUGCUUGGGAAUCUGGCUUAUGGAGGGGGAUAACUACGGGAAACUGUAGAAAAUACCGCGAACCAAAGGAUGAGCCCAAGUGGGAUAAGGUAGUUGGGGAGGAAAAGGCUCACAAAGCAGACGAUCUCUAGCUGGUCUGAGAGGAUGACCAGCCACACUGGGACUGGGACACGGUCCAGACUCCUACGGGAGGCAGCAGUGGGGAAUAUGGCGCAAUGGGGGCAACCUGACGCAGCCAUGCCGCGUGAAUGAAGAAGGCCUUCGGGUUGUAAAGUUCUUUCGGUAGCGAGGCGUUACCUACAGAAGAAGCACCGGCUAACUCCGUGCCAGCCGCCGCGGUAAUAC